UAAGAGGCCCCUUUUGAAAAGAAGCU
rnacentral:piRNA from 1 species